GGUUACACAGACAUGUUCUACUAAAGUGGAAGGAAGGGUAAGCAUCUAUAGGUUACACAGACAUGUUCUACUAAAGUGGAAGGAAGGGUAAGCAUCUAUAGGUUACACAGACAUGUUCUACUAAAGUGGAAGGAAGGGUAAGCAUCUAUAGGUUACACAGACAUGUUCUACUAAAGUGGAGGGAAGGGUAAGCAUCUAUAGGUUACACAGACAUGUUCUACUAAAGUAGAAGGAAGGGUAAGCAUCUAU